ACUGCUCAGUAACACGUAGCUAACCUACCCUCGGGACGGGGAUAACCCCGGGAAACUGGGGCUAAUACCCGAUAGGUGUGGAUUCCUGGAAUGGUGCCAUGCCUAAACGUAAGCGCAUCCAUGUUUGCGUGCACGCCCGAGGAUGGGGCUGCGGCCGAUCAGGCAGUUGGUGAGGUAACGGCUCACCAAACCUUUGACCGGUACGGGCCAUGAGAGUGGUAGCCCGGAGAUGGGCACUGAGACAAGGGCCCAGGCCCUACGGGGCGCAGCAGGCGCGAAACCUCCACAAUUCACGCAAGUGAGAUGGGGUUACCUCGAGUGCCGCCUGAAGAAGGCGGCUUUUCCAUGGUGUAAUGAGCCGUGGGAAUAAGGGGGGGGCAAGACUGGUGUCAGCCGCCGCGGUAACACCAGCCCCCCGAGUGGUGGGGAUGAUUAUUUGGCCUAAAGCGUCCGUAGCCGGCUCUGUAAAUCUCUCGUUAAAUCCAGCGUCCCAAGCGUUGGGCUGCGAGGGAGACUGCAGAGCUAGAGGGUGGGAGAGGUCAGCGGUAUUCCUGGGGUAGGGGCGAAAUCCAUUGAUCCCAGGAGGACCACCAGUGGCGAAGGCUGCUGACUAGAACACGCCUGACGGUGAGGGACGAAAGCUGGGGUAGCGAAUCGGAUUAGAUACCCGAGUAGUCCCAGCCGUAAACGAUGCAGGCUAGGUGUUGGGUCGGCCACGCGCCGCCUCAGUGCCACAGGGAAGCCAUUAAGCCUGCCGCCUGGGGAGUACGGCCGCAAGGCUGAAACUUAAAGGAAUUGGCGGGGGAGCACCACCAGGCGUGAAGCCUGCGGUUUAAUUGGAGUCAACGCCGGAAA
rnacentral:rRNA from 1 species